GUGGUAACACCUUUUUGUUAAAUAAAAAAUUAUAUAAAACAAUUGUUAUAUUCUACCGUUGAAUUCUAAAUCUGAGCUUUUAAAGUACAGAAAAUGUUUCAUAUAUUUCACAUGAUAUCAGAAUAAAAAAUUUUAAAUUUAAAUCACGUCAGACUUCUAACAUUAUUAAUUUUUUUAUAUUUAAUUCAAAUUCACGUCAUAGGCUUGCGAAAAGUUUCAAGCCAAGACGAGAAUAAAGUGUUAAAUAUAAAAAUAUUUAAAACACCAUUCUCAACCGAUUUAAGUUUUUAGAAUAUGACGGUUGUUUUAUAUAAUUUUACACUUUUUGAGAGAGAGAGAGAUAUUGAAUUAUUCAUUUCGUUUAUUUUUUAAAAUAAUUUAAUUAGAAAUAUAAAAUAAUUAAAUUUUGAAUUUAAAUUUUUUAGAUACCAAU
rnacentral:lncRNA from 1 species